rnacentral:rRNA from 12 species
AGUAUGUGGGAGACUCGUGCCGCCGCCCCUGCCACCCCGGUGUCAGUGUGCCCGUGGUAGUGAGAGACUGCCGGUGAGAAGCCGGAGGAAGGU